rnacentral:rRNA from 1 species
UACGGGGGGGGCAAGCGUUGUUCGGAAUUACUGGGCGUAAAGGGCGCGUAGGCGGCACUGUUAGUCAGGCGUGAAAGUCCUGGGCUCAACCUGGGAACUGCGCUUGAUACGGCAGAGCUAGAGGAUGGAAGAGGCUCGCGGAAUUCCCAGUGUAGAGGUGAAAUUCGUAGAUAUUGGGAAGAACACCGGUGGCGAAGGCGGCGAGCUGGGCCGACACUGACGCUGAGGCGCGAAAGCCAGGGGAGCGAACGGG